CCAAUAGCGUAUAUUAAAGUUGUUGCAGUUAAAAAGCUCGUAGUUGAAUUUCGGGAUCAAAUUGUCGGUCGUGCCUCGGUACGUACUGGUAUUAUUGGUUCCUCCCUUCUGACGAACCACGAUGUCAUUAAUUUGGUGUCAUGGGAAAUCAGGACUGUUACUUUGAAAAAAUUAGAGUGUUUAAAGCAGGCUCGCGCUUGAAUACAUUAGCAUGGAAUAAUGAAAUAGGACGUUUGAUUCUAUUUUGUUGGUUUCUAGGAUCGACGUAAUGAUUAAUAGGGAUAGUUGGGGGCAUUAGUAUUCAAUUGUCAGAGGUGAAAUUCUUGGAUUUAUUGAAGACUAACUACUGCGAAAGCAUUUGCCAAGGAUGUUUUCAUUAAUCAAGAACGAAAGUUAGGGGAUCGAAGACGAUCAGAUACCGUCGUAGUCUUAACCAUAAACUAUGCCGACUAGGGAUCGGAUGAUGUUAAUUUUUUAAUGACUC
rnacentral:rRNA from 1 species